CCCCCACACCACAACAGGUCCUGUGUGAGAUGGUUUCAGCCACAUCUAGAGGGACAGGUAUUUUCCCUUCCAGCUGUAGCAAAUGCUACUCAGGAGUGUCCCGCCCCCUCCCCCCCCAAAUAAUGUUCAUCAAGGGAGGAACUGCAGUUAAGAAGAGGGCUAGAAGGAAGUCAGAAAAGUUUACGAGAAUAUCCAACAGCUCAGUUAUUCAUGCAGGACUUAAGUAUUCUAGCUAAGAGGGGAAAAAUUGGUUAUAUACAGAUUGGUCAGGUAAGGAGCCCUAUUGCAGAGGGAGGCACUAUGUGACCUGGCUUGGCUCACUCUUGGAUAAAGCCUACAGCACAGGUCUUAAAGGUUGCCAAGGUUGGACACCCCUGUACUAAAGUAAUAAAACUGAGACUGUAUGAUGGCUCCCAGCUUCUUUGGCAAACGGAACAACUCACUGUUCUGAAUAUUUUGGGGCUGGGCCUUUUUUCUUACUCUUAAAUUUUUCUUACUCAUGCAAGGCAAUCUUAAUGCCCUUACAAAAUAUAUAUUGAAUACCAAGGAGACAAGUAGUGGACUAAGGGUGAGGUGAUCGUAGAAUGAAGAGCUGUAUUACAACAUUAGAAAAAAAUAAUAAAUCCCUUGGGGUGAAAUCACAUCAGUAUCAGAUGUGAAAAGAAUGAACCAUAUCAAAGACAGUAAAAAGGUGCAGGUAUGUACCCCAAAACGUAUAAUUUUUUUUUUUAGAAAGAACACUUCUCUCUGGAUGUUAACAAAGGAUUCAUGAACUGUUAAGAGCUUCUACAUCCAAAACAAUUUGGCACAUGCUUUGGCACUUUUGCCACCAGUAAAAAAAAAAAAAAGCCAGAAUAGAGGAUAAAAAAUUGGUCAAAGUUGAGAAAACAAAUGGCACUGCAACAAAAUAUGUUUGAAAAAUUUCAAGAACUACCAACCUAUGUUCCGACAGUGGAGAUCUUAGAAGACAUAUAACAUUGGAUGUUUCCUCUACCAUCAAAUCAGACUAUUAAUAUAGAAAUGAACCUACAUUUCAGGCCAGUCCAUUAACAAUCAGAUGCACUUCAUACCUGCUACAAGUACAGACAGCAAGAAAACUAAUUUCCAGGAUUUUUCUAAAGCAUGUUUUCAGCUACCCAUUUGUAUAUUUAUGACAACAUAAAUAACAACAUAAAUAUGGCCAAUUAUUAGAUGACCUCCCCUCAAAAAUUUAAAAAGCCAAAAGCAGGAUCCUACAAUACUUGUUACUUCAGAGAAGACUGGAGCCAUGGCAAGUCACGGGAAGUCUUGCCCAAUGGGAUCUCUUUUAAGGGAAGAGGAAGACUGGGGAAGGCAAGUUCAUUUGUUAAUGUUUCCCCGAGACUUAACAAAAAAGACUUAACAAAAACUUUAAAAAGCAGUUCAGUUUCCUGGAAUGUCUAGGUGAACGCGCCCCGUUGGUUGGCACAGCAGCUAUUAAAAUGAGCAUUCUGCACUUCUUGUAGUGGGUGAUGGGUUUAACUGAAGUUUCAAAUAGCUCAUUAAAAAAAAUUGAAGUGACAUAUACCAAGGUAGUCUUUCUCAACCUUGGCAACUUUUAAGAUGUGUGGAUUUCAACUCCCAGAAUCCCCCAGUCAGCAAGCUGGCUGGGCAAUUCUGGGAACUGAAGUCCACACAUCUUAAAAGUUGCCAAGGUUGAACAACAAUGUGCUAGUAAUACUAAUGAAGUAUUAAAGAGUCUUCACGCAGUGAAUGCAGAUUUCAAGAGAAACAUUGUGCUGGAGUCUUAAAGAGGCAAUAGUAACACUUCCCUGCAUAUGCAAGAUUCAUAGGAGAGAAAGCUUUUCUACCUGGAAUAUAUAAAGUAGAAUUAUAAUGUGUGGAUGCGCUCAGAAUACGCCCCACAUACAUUUGGAGUGAUGCAGUUCAAAGAGAGUACAGGUUCCUUUGCUAGAAAUUGGAAGCAGCCCCACAUUCAGUCUUAAGCUAGACAAAAAGUUUACAGAAGAUGAGAAAUAGAUCUCAGUUACAAUUAUUCAGUCCCCACAAAAAUACAUCCAUCAAACACCGUCUCAAGCAAAUACGUAUCCUUCAAUUUCCUGACCCUAAUCUCAUUAAGAGGCUGUUAGAAGGAAGCUCAAAAUCUAAAUCCUUAAACAUUUCAACAUUUAUGUUAUGCAUCUGAUCAUCUGUUUUAACACUGUGGUGAUCAGAGCCCCUUGGCUUCUAAUGAAUUAUCUGGGAUCUGCUGCCGCUAAGGGCGAGAAAAAAGUCAUCGAGCAAGAAAGAGGCAAAGUGUCCUAAGAGUCGUCAAGGGAUUUCCUUUUUUGUUUUUGUUUUGUUUUACACAGACACUCUGUUAUAAAAUUUCACAAACAGCUCAUUAACUUCACACUUUUAUCUACAGUAAAUUCACGAAGGGGGUGUGUGUGUGUGGAGGGGGGGGGAAUUAUAACAGCAGACCAGCCGAUCCACUGUAGAACUCAGAAGAUACAUCUUAGGUUAAACGUAGAGCUAUAUAAAUGCAGUUUCUUU